rfam:Glossina palpalis gambiensis isolate 146720 unplaced genomic scaffold Scaffold186, whole genome shotgun sequence.
UCCUCGAUAGUAUAGUGGUUUAGUAUCCUCGCCUGUCACGCGGGAGACCGGGGGUUCGAUUCCCCGUCGGGGAA